rnacentral:rRNA from 1 species
AGAGUUUGAUCAUGGCUCAGAAUCAACGCUGCGGCGUGCCUCAGACAUGCAAGUCGAACGCGAAAGUCCCCUUCGGGGGGCAAGUAGAGUGGCGCACGGGUGAGUAACACGUAGGUAAUCUACCUUUGGAUUGGGAAUAACCACCGGAAACGGUGGCUAAUACCGAAUAAUGCAGCGGCACCUAAUGGUGACAGUUGUUAAAGCGGGGGAUCGAAAGACCUCGCGUCUGAAGAGGAGCCUGCGGUAGAUUAGCUAGUUGGUAAGGUAGCGGCUUACCAAGGCGAUGAUCUGUAGCCGGCCUGAGAGGGCGGUCGGCCACACUGACACUGACAUACGGGUCAGACUCCUACGGGAGGCAGCAGUCGGGAAUUUUGGGCAAUGGGCGAAAGCCUGACCCAGCAACGCCGCGUGAAGGAUGAAAUCCUUCGGGAUGUAAACUUCGCAAGAACGGGAAGAAUAAGUAAGGGUUAAUAUCUCUUACGAUGACGGUACUGUUUGUAAGCUCCGGCUAACUCCGUGCCAGCAGCCGCGGUAAUACGGGGGGAGCAAGCGUUGUUCGGAUUUACUGGGCGUAAAGGGCGCGUAGGCGGCCACCGCAAGUC